UACAGGGGGGGCAAGCGUUGUUCGGAAUUACUGGGCGUAAAGGGCUCGUAGGCGGCCAACUAAGUCCGACGUGAAAUCCCCAAGCUUAACUUGGGAACUGCGUCGGAUACUGGAUGGCUUGAAUUCGGGAGAGGGAUGCAGAAUUCCAGGUGUAGCGGUGAAAUGCGUAGAUAUCUGGAGGAAUACCGGUGGCGAAGGCGGCAUCCUGGACCGACAUUGACGCUGAGGAGCGAAAGCUAGGGGAGCAACGGGG
rnacentral:rRNA from 1 species